rfam:Picea glauca, whole genome shotgun sequence.
UUAUAGGAUUCCCUAGAAUCCACUAAAUAGUUAUGUAAAUUUCUAU